rnacentral:lncRNA from 1 species
CCUGUGUGUAUUUAAAUAUGCUCUCUCUAAUUCUCUCUUUCUCUCUUUCUGUCUUUCUCUCGGAGGACCUGAGCCCUAGGACCAUGCCUCAGGACUACCUGGUAUGAUGACUCCUUGCUGUCCCCAGUCCACCUGGCCGUGCUGCUGCUCCAGUUUCAACUGUUCUGCCUGCGGCUAUGGAACCCUGACCUGUUCACCGGACGUGCUUGUUGCACCCUCGACAACUACUAUGAUUAUUAUUAUUUGACCAUGCUGGUCAUUUAUGAACAUUUUAACAUUUUAACAUUUUGACCAUGUUCUGUUUUAAUAUCCACCCUGCACAGCCAGAAGAGGACUGGCCACCCCUCAUAGCCUGGUUCCUCUCUAGGUUUCUUCCUAGGUUUUUGGCCUUUCUAGGGAGUUUUUCCUAGGGAGUUUUUCCUAGCCACCGUGCUUCUUUCACAUGCUUUGCUUGCUGUUUGGGGUUUUAGGCUGGGUUUCUGUACAGCACUUUGAGAAUAUCAGCUGAUGUACGAAGGGCUAUAUAAAAAUAAAUUUGAUUUUGAUUUGAUGAUGGGAGCACAUUUCCAGACACAUUAAACUAAACCCACUCAUCACUAGCUAACACAUGUCCUGGGACAGGAGAGAUGGAGGAAUGUUUUUUUAAAUGUAUUUCCUGGGUACGUAUUUGAAUAAGGAUAUUCAACAUCUGCAUCCCAAAUUAUAGCAUGUUCCCUACAUUGUGCACUACCCAUAGGGCUCUGAUCAAAAGUAGUGCACUAUGCAGGGAAUAGGGUACCAUUUGGGAUGAAAACCGGGGUAAGAGAAUGGGGAUUUCACGCUUGGCUAAACUAAACCCUUUUAAAGAUGUUGUAGUUACUUUUUAGAAAGCCCCAGUUCCCAAUGUAGAACAAAGGUAAUUUCUCCCUUUAAACAGCCCUGAUCCAGCCCGGCCACCGCCUCAUUAGCUGGUAAAUCCCCGAGGACCCUUGGGGUGCUUCCUCUGAGAAGGAGGGCCCUUUAAGAAAACACACAGCUGAGGUGCUAGUGGGUUGCAUCCCAAAUGGCACCCUAUUCCCUAUAUAGUGUGGUAAUUUUGACAAAAGUAAUGCACUACAGAAGGAAUAGGGUGUUAUUAGAGACUCAGACAGAGUGAUGAGGGGCCAUAGGGAUUUGGAGUCCCAGGGCAGGGUGGGCGGGGUGAGGGGCUUCCAGUUUCAGCCAUCCACCUUGGUUGAUGAGGGGCCUUAGUGAGGCUUGUGGUCAUAGAAGAUGGGUGAGGCAAACACUGAGUAAACACCCUCCUCCCAUCCCCUGUGUGUGUGUGUGUGUGUGUGUGUGUGUGUGUGUGUGUGUGUGUGUGUGUGUGUGUGUGUGUGUGUGUGUGUGUGUGUGUGUGUGUGUGUGUGUGUGUGUGUGUGUGUGUGUGUGUGUGUGUGUGCGUGCGCAUGUGCGCCUGCGCAUGCAUGUGUGUAUGCGAGCCAAGGCGGGUUAGGACUGGGGUGGAAGGUUAAGCCACUGAGAGAGGAAUGCCAAUUAACAUUGACUUGAUGCGUUCACACAGACCUGCUUUGGGUUGGGUGGACUUGAACCUGGAGAUGUAAGCCAUGGAAGAGCAGUGUUUUUGCCAGUUUUUCACCAGACUGAAACAUGUAAUUUCCUAUUGGCGCAAGAGACUGGUUUUGAGAAAAGCCUUAGAGCGAAAUCAUCUGCAUUAAACAGUC